rnacentral:lncRNA from 1 species
UUCAAGAGGCACCGGGUGGCAGCUGCUCUCUCGGCUAUGUCCACCGUCCUCAGCUCCGUGUGCUACCAGAUGAGAUCGAUAAAUAAUAAGCAACAUAACCAAUAAAUGAUCGGAUUGGUUGCCUUGUCAAAAGUUUCUAUUUGCAGUUUGCAGGUCUGUGUGAAGAGGGUGCGAUGGAGGAAGAACAAUCCAGAAAUGGAGGGCACUGAAAAUAAUACUCCCUCCGUUCCUUUACAUAAGGUGUAUUUGUUUUUUGAUAAAAUUCCACAAUGUUAGGUGCAUUUCUUCUAAUUCUUUUGUAAUUCCAUCAUUAGCCCNNNNNNNNNNCCACAUGUUAGGUGCAUUUCUUCUAAUUCUUUUGUAAUUCCAUCAUUAGCCCUUCAAAAAAAGGAAAGUAUAUCUCCUCUGAUUGCAUGCAUCCCUUAUUAUAAAGAGAAAAAGG